UGAGGAGUGGUGAAAUGGCAUCACACCUGGCUCUGGACCAGGUUUUCCAGGUUCGAGUCCUGGCUCCUCAGCCA
rnacentral:tRNA from 1 species